rnacentral:rRNA from 1 species
UACAGAGGUCCCAAGCGUUGUUCGGAUUCACUGGGCGUAAAGGGUGCGUAGGCGGUGAGGUAAGUUUGACGUGAAAUCUCCGGGCUCAACCCGGAAACUGCGUUGAAUACUAUCUCGCUAGAGGAAUGGAGGGGAGACUGGAAUACUUGGUGUAGCAGUGAAAUGCGUAGAUAUCAAGUGGAACACCAGUGGCGGAAGGCGAGUCUCUGGACAUUUCCUGACGUGAGGCACGAAAGCCAGGGGAGCAAACGGGG